UUGGGAUCCAGAAGUUUCAUCUCCCAUUUUCCCCUUCAUUCUCCCUUAAUCGUUCAUCCUCGAUGCUGUCACCGGUGACUAUAGGUGCGCUGAAACCUCCCACCUCCGUUCAUGUUGUUUGGCGCAUCGACUUCCUCUUUCUUUUAGGUUGGUGCUGUGUGUGCAGAAGAGAGAGAGAGUGCUCAGGUAUUUUUUUUUCUAUUCUCUUCUUUUUCCUGAUCAUGUUCUGGAAGUAGAGAAGUCUAGAACUCAACCCAUUUUCUCCCGUCUUCUCCUUCCUCCCCCACCAUCUCCAAGUGCUGUCGACGUGUCUGUAGAGGAGGAAUUCCAGCCACUGCUACAUGGGCUUCAAACCACAAUUUCUCCUUUUCCUCUUUCUUUGAACUUGUUUUGAGCUGCAGAAAGGGUCCGAGAUCGAAACUCUUCUGUGUCCUCUCCAACCUUUGAUCGUGGUUCAGACCACUGCCGACAAGUGCUUAGGCAUGCUUCACCGUUGCUCAGUCUUUAAUCUUCUGAACUAAGACCCGAUUAUUCUCCCCUGUUUUGCAUCCACAACUUGCAUGUGUGGCUGGUGAGAGCCUCGAUAUCUCCCUUUUUCUACCUGGCACUGGAUUGUGUGUGUGAGCUCAUUGUGAGUUUGGACUACUUAAACAUUGAUUUAUCCCUCUCCUUAGUCCAGCCUCAUUUGCUCUGCCGGGUUUGAGCAUUGGAAGAGUUGGGAUCAAGAGAUUGAAGCUUUGAAGAUAUUUGGAGCUUAUUUUCUUCGGUUUUUCUAUUCCUUUUCUCUUUCCUCUCUUGUAAUCUAAAAUGGGUUCACUUAUUUUGUAUAUUUGUAGCUUGUGGAUGAUUAUGAGUAGCUAAACCUUUUUGUUCUAGGAUUAUUUGAAACCCUUGUAUGGAUUAAUACUAUAUUUCUCCUCUC